GAACGCUAGCGGCAGGCCUUAAUACAUGACAAGUCGAACGCUACAGUAGACAAUACGUGGGAGUGGCGCGACGGGUGACGUAACGCGUACACAAUCUACCUCUAAGCGGGGGACACCUCCUGGAAACGGGGAUUAAUACCGCAUAAUAUGCCGAGGUCGCAUGACUUUGGUAUUAAAGCAGCAAUGCACUUAGAGAUGAGUGUGCGUCCCAUUAGGUAGUUGGUGAGGUAACGGCUCACCAAGCCUAUGAUGGGUAGCCGGUCUGAGAGGAUGGUCGGCCACACGGGCACUGAGACACGGGCCCGACUCCUACGGGAGGCAGCAGUAAGGAAUAUUGGUCAAUGGUGGAAACACUGAACCAGCCAUGCCGCGUGGAGGAAUAAGGUCCUACGGAUUGUAAACUCCUUUUGACGAGGAAGAAAGUGUUAGAUUUAUCUAAUUUUGACGGUACUCGUAGAAUAAGCACCGGCUAACUCCGUG
rnacentral:rRNA from 1 species